rnacentral:rRNA from 1 species
AUUGAACGCUAGCGGCAGGCCUAACACAUGCAAGUCGAACGAGUGGCGGGCGGGUGAGUAACGCCUGGGAAAUUGCCUGAUCGAGGGGGACCACUACUGGAAACGGUAGCUCACACCGCAUACCAUCAGAAGUACCCAGACUGGAUUCACUAGUAGGUGGGGUAAAGGCUCACCUAGGCGACGAUCCAUAGCUGGUCUGAGAGGAUUACCAGCGACGCGUGAACUGGGACGCGGUCCAGACUCCGACGCAGGGCGGCAGUGGCGAAUAUUGCACAAUGUGCGCAAGCCUGAUGCAGCCAUGCCGCGUGUAUGGAGGAGGCCUUCGGGUUGUAAAGUACUUUCAGCGGGGAGACGUUAGCCGCAGAAGAAGCACCGGCUAACUCCGUGCCAGCAGCCGCGGUAAUAC